GCCGGGUGCAGUGGCAUGUGCCUGUAAUCCAAGUCACUGGGAGGCUGAGGUUGGUGGAUCAAGUGAGCUGAGGAGCUCUGGGCUGCAGCAUGCUAUGUCGAACGGGUGUCCACGCUAAGUUCGGUAUCGAUAUGGUGUUCCUAGGGGAGCCUGGGACCACCAGGUUGUCUAAGGAGGGGUGAACCGGCCCAGGUCGGAUUCUUCUGUUACGGUACGUGAAUGAGGACCCAAAAGCGAAUUAACAAAACAGCGUUUCUUUAAUGAGGAAACACAUGU
rnacentral:sRNA from 13 species